rnacentral:rRNA from 1 species
GACAGAGGGUGCAAACGUUGCUCGGAAUCACUGGGCGUAAAGGGCGUGUAGGCGGGAAGGAAAGUCAGAUGUGAAAUCCCCAGGCUCAACCUGGGAACUGCAUUUGAAACUCCCUUUCUUGAGUACCGGAGAGGAAAGUGGAAUUCCUGGUGUAGAGGUGAAAUUCGUAGAUAUCGGGAGGAACACCAGUGGCGAAGGCGGCGAUCUGGGCAGAUACUGACGCUGAUGUGCGAAAGCGUGGGGAGCAAACAGG